rnacentral:rRNA from 1 species
UACGUAGGUGGCAAGCGUUGUCCGGAUUUACUGGGCGUAAAGGGCGUGCAGGCGGUUUGUUAAGUGCAGGGUGAAAGCUCCCGGCUCAACUGGGAGAGGUCCUUGCAUACUGGCAGACUUGAGGGAGGCAGAGGAAAGUGGAAUUCCCGGUGUAGUGGUGAUAUGCGUAGAUAUCUGGAGGAACACCGGUGGCGAAGGCGACAUCCUGGACCGGUAUUGACGCUGAGGCGCGAAAGCCAGGGGAGCAAACAGG